GCCAGCGUGGAGUAGUGGUUUGAGCAUAGGACUAUGACUCUGAAGACCAAGGUUCAACUCCCUGCUUGGCU